CCUACGGGGGGCUGCAGUAAGGAAUAUUGGUCAAUGGACGAAAGUCUGAACCAGCCAUGCCGCGUGGAGGAUGACGGUCCUCUGGAUUGUAAACUUCUUUUAUCUGGGACGAAAAAGGGCCUUUCUAGGUCAACUGACGGUACCAGAUGAAUAAGCACCGGCUAACUCCGUGCCAGCAGCCGCGGUAAUACGGAGGGUGCAAGCGUUAUCCGGAUUCACUGGGUUUAAAGGGUGCGUAGGCGGACAGGUAAGUCAGUGGUGAAAUCUUCCCGCUUAACGGGAAAACUGCCAUUGAUACUCUCUGUCUUGAAUAUUGUGGAGGUGAGCGGAAUAUGUCAUGUAGCGGUGAAAUGCUUAGAUAUGACAUAGAACACCAAUUGCGAAGGCAGCUCACUACACAUAUAUUGACGCUGAGGCACGAAAGCGUGGGGAUCAAACAGGAUUAGAUACCCCGGUAGUC
rnacentral:rRNA from 1 species